rnacentral:rRNA from 1 species
UACGUAGGGGGCAAGCGUUGUCCGGAAUCAUUGGGCGUAAAGCGCGUGUAGGCGGCCAGGUAAGUCCGUUCUGAAAGCCCGGGGCUCAACCCCGGGAGGCGGAUGGAUACUGCUUGGCUCGAGUCCGGAAGAGGCGAGUGGAAUUCCCGGUGUAGCAGGUGAAAUGCGCAGGAUAUCGGGAGGAACACCAAUGGCGAAGG